CUGAAUCACCUCCGUUAUCUGUGUGUUUUCCUCCCUGUCCCGCUGCGGAAGGAUGGAUGGAUGGAUGGAUGGAUGAUUCUCUCGGCCGCUCACGCCCCACUAACAGCCUCUGGUUUCGGCUCGUCCUUUCGGAGCACCCAGCGGGCCAUCUCCUUCCAGACCCUCCUGCAGAUGCUGGCCCGAAUAUCCAGGGACCUGCACGGGAACGGGGCAAGCCCGCAGCGAGGCAAACACGGCAACCCAGGGACCCGGGAGCGACCGCUUCCCGCAGUGAGGUCGGUGCACACGUCUCCCGUGGAUGGCUCAAGUAAUUUUGGAACCUCUAUAAGCCCCAGAUGUCCACCGUGUCCUGCAGCAAGGGGGUCCCGGCUUAACUGUGCACCGUCUGCAGAGAAAUCGCCUGGAGGCCGGCCACGUUUUAGCUCCCGCUGCCAGAAACCCGGCACGGGGAGCCCCGCACCUCUCCUCCCGGGAUGUGCCACAUCCCUGCACGGCUGAUACCAGCCCCGGGGCCAGAAAUAACCCUGAGCAGCUCAGGCCCGUUUGGGUUUAUCCUGCCUGGUGAGGGCAGAUGCACGUGUGUCCUCCAGGCAGAUCUCAGGUGAGAGCACCCGCCCGAGCGGCAGCAGCGCUCUGGGAGCCGUGUCUGUGUGUCUGUCUGCUGGCAAAAACAAAUAAAAAGGUGUUGGGUGCCA